rnacentral:lncRNA from 1 species
UGUCAAUUUAUGGUCAGUAUCGUGGUAUGGUAAUUUGGCUAAUUCGUGUUUGAGGCCAGUUAAGAUGUUUAACUGACAUUUAAUUGUUGUUCAAUUUCCAAAUUAAUUUAAGUUUUUCAAUUGCAAACGAAUCAUCAGACGUCUAAGUGACUGAAGUCCCUUUGUGACGCGGUGAAUAAAGAACGUUGUUUCCGUUCCUUCCGGACUGCGAACACAGGUCUACAAACACGCUCCCCAAAAGCAGGUGUCAUCGGGGAUGAGGACAGACGUGAAAGGCGUGAUGUAAGGUCAUGUUUUGGAAGAACGGGUAACUGCAGCCCGCAAUUCGGGCGUUCCUACAUUUGAAGCAGCCUACCGUCCUCCACCGUCCUCCACCGUCCUCAUGGCUGAAGAGAUCAGGAAAAUAGGUGCUCUGCUAGAUCAGCCUCUGAGUGAGAAAGACCAAGAACUCAUCACUUACGUCAAGCACAAGUUUUCCACCGACUUCAAAAAAGACCACAGUUACUUCUCUGAGAAGGUUGUUACCCGCAGUGACACAAAGUAUGGCCUCAAACAAAAUGGCCAGGCCAGGAAGAACUAUUACAGGAGACAGGAGCUGCUCAGUAAAGGCUUUUUCUCCCCUGUCAACAAACCAUACAAAACAGUGGGAAUGCUUUACUCUGACAACGUUGAUCUCUUCUCAACCUGGCUCACAUCAGAGGACCAAAAGUCACUGAAGACACAGUGGGACAAGAAGUUUGGAAAAAAGACAGUGAUCUCCAGCAAAUUCACUCAGGAGAAGACUAAAAAGGAGGAGAACGUCAGAGCCCCUCCAGUGGAGAACCUGAAUGGUUUCUUCCAGCUGAAGCAGUACAUGAGAGAGAUGGUCUCCAUCAGACACGCUCUCCACACUGGACGCCCCCUCAUAUAUUGCCUCAGGGACCAGGAUAAACCGUUACUGCUAAUGAAGAAACCUGUGCCUCCUAAGACACCAUGUGACCGAGCCAUAUCAGCUGAUAAAGAGACUAUAGCACCAUUGUCCAUGAACCAACAGGCACUGGACCCAGAGGAAGAGGAGAACCUACAGAGGAUACAGUACAGGAAGCAGAAGCUGUUCUUAGAGAAACUCCAGUGGAUUUACAUGGUCCUGUGUGGCAUCUCUCACAUGCGAAACAGAGACCUGAAGACACUGGUUCCUCUCAACAGCAGCUAUGUGAACAUCAUCAUGAAGGACACAGAGAAGACCAACAUCCUGUUGAAGCAGUCGCACAGCUACAACCCUCCGUUGAAUUACACCAGGCAGCUGGUGUCCCUGGCCCCCGAGGACUGUCACAGCAUCAGCCGUGACGUGUGGGACACCUUUAUCAGCCACCAGGACACCACAGAGCCCUCGAAGUUAACCACCAUCCGAACCGCAGGAUAUAAAGCUCUGCAGUCGGGGCCCAGGCGCAAGGUUGGCCAGAGAGAGCCAGACGGAGAUGGAUACAUGCCCCCAUGGCUGCUGCUGGAUGAGAACACGUCCCUAGAGAAGAAAACAGUAAAGCCUGGUGUAGACCAGUCAGGCAUGCUGGAGAGAGCCAAGGCCCAAUACCGGGAUGUGAAGAAAGUUCUGAACGUCCCGAUGGAGUCCAUAGUGUUUCAAAAGAGAAAGAACCGAGGGGAGAGGAUGAGAACUCUUUUCAAUGCUCUAAUGGCCUCAAAGACCAACGCUGGUCUGUCCUCACUCCUUACCUCUCUGAAGAGUGAGCUGAAGGAGCCCAAAUCCACCACAGGUCUCUGGUUUGCGACACUGCAGAGUGAUGCCACAGAAUUGUCCGGAGACAGAGACUCCAAAUACAACAGCAUACUGCAGAAGAUCUCAGAGUUUCAAAGCUUCUCCAACAAAAAGCUCCCCUACUCCAAGGAGAAGUUCUGUCUCCUGGUCCUCUCCAUGUCACCCAAUCAGCUGCUUCGACCGGCCAUGCAGGAAGCACUGCUCUUCCUCACGGAGAACGUGCUGCUGUUGUUGCCGCGGCACCUCAAACAGUGGUACCAGUACCUGAAGCUCCCAUUCCCCACCACGGCAACCGCCUCCUAAAAAAGAAAAGGGAUCCGCCUACCUACACUGAUGCUCUGUGUUCUUCACUACCUGUCUACAAUGUGGGCCUGGGACUUACAGGCCUGAGUUGAGUCUGAAAUGGUUCUUUAUCCUCAACAUAGCCCCCUAUAUUGGGGAAUAUAGUCAUUUCAGACAGCCCUAGGUUCUUGGUGGGAUAGUCAAUGUUGGGGGCUCAGGUAAAGACUAUCUGUUCACUGGUUGAGCCAUUAAAACAUGUUAAAAAAUAUCAGUUUUUCUCUAAACUGAUUUUUUGGUAAUGUUUUUGAAUGUUAAGCUAUUGGGUUGUGAAG